GAUGAACGCUGGCGGCAGGCUUAACACAUGCAAGUCGAACGCCCCGCAAGGGGAGUGGCAGACGGGUGAGUAACGCGUGGGAAUCUACCGUGCCCUGCGGAAUAGCUCCGGGAAACUGGAAUUAAUACCGCAUACGCCUACGGGGAAGAUUUAUCGGGGUAUGAUGAGCCCGCGUUGGAUUAGCUAGUUGGUGGGGUAAA
rnacentral:rRNA from 1 species